rnacentral:rRNA from 1 species
AGCCUGAACGCUGGCGGCGUGGCUAAGACAUGCAAGUCGUACGGGGUCCGCAAGGAUCCAGUGGCGAACGGGUGAGUAAAGUAUCGCUAACGUACCCCUAUGUCCGGGAUAGCUGGGGGAAACUCCAGGUAAUACCGGGUGACAUCACUUUCUCGCAUGAGAAGGUGCUCAAAGGGAAACCGCAAAGGGAGCGGGCGAUAUCGUAUCAGCUAGUUGGUGAGGUAACGGCUCACCAAGGCUAUGACGCGUAGCCGGACUGAGAGGUCGGACGGCCACAUUGGGACUGAGACACUGCCCAGACUCCUACGGGGGGCUGCAGUAACGAAUCUUCCGCAAUGCACGCAAGUGUGACGGAGCGACGCCGCGUGUGGGACGAAGUCCUUCGGGAUGUAAACCACUGUCAGGGGUUACCAAGUUCUGAGGAACCCCAGAGGAAGGCACGGCUAACUCUGCGCCAGCAGCCGC